GACGAACGCUGGCGGCGUGCUUAACACAUGCAAGUCGAACGGUGAAGCGCCUUCCUUUUUGGUUGGUGUGGAGGAGUGGCGAACGGGUGAGUAACACGUGAGUAACCUGCCCCUUUCUUCUGGAUAACCGCAUGAAAGUGUGGCUAAUACGGGAUAUUCUGUGUCUGUCGCAUGAUGGGUCUGGGAAAGAUAUUGUUUCGGUGGGGGCUGGUCUCGCGGCCGAUCAGCUGGUUGGUGGGGUGAUGGCCUACCAAGGCGGCGACGCGUAGCCGGCGUGAUAGGAGGGUGGGCGACCCCAGAGGGACUGCGAGACGGAGAAGACUCCGAGAGGAAGCAGCGGGGGAGAAUAGAGAACGAUGGGAAGAAUGCUGCAGCCGCGACGCGGCGUGGGAGAUGGAGGCCGUCGGGUUGUGAACCUCUUUCGGCAGUGAAGCAGGCCUGGCUCGUUUGUGGGUGGGUUGACGGUAGCUAGAGAAGAAGCGCCGGCUAACUACGUG
rnacentral:rRNA from 1 species